UGCAAAACCGUGCACUAAAAGUGAUUUUGGAGACAUUUGAGACGAGAAACAGUCAUUACGGUAACAGAAUAUUGAUUAAUAUUUGAUCAGCGCUGCCUAGCUUAACCAUUUGAUUGAAGUUGAGUGAUUGACAGCUGCUCAGAGAUGGCAAGGCUCCAGCUCGUCUCUGAU